rnacentral:rRNA from 1 species
GAUGAACGCUGGCGGCGUGCCUAAUACAUGCAAGUCGAGCGAACGGACGAGGAGCUUGCCCCUCUGACGUUAGCGGCGGACGGGUGAGUAACACGUGGAUAACCUACCUAUAAGACUGGGAUAACUUCGGGAAACCGGAGCUAAUACCGGAUAAUAUAUUGAACCGCAUGGUUCAAUAGUGAAAGACGGUUUUGCUGUCACUUAUAGAUGGAUCCGCGCCGCAUUAGCUAGUUGGUAAGGUAACGGCUUACCAAGGCAACGAUGCGUAGCCGACCUGAGAGGGUGAUCGGCCACACUGGAACUGAGACACGGUCCAGACUCCUACGGGAGGCAGCAGUAGGGAAUCUUCCGCAAUGGGCGAAAGCUUGACGGAGCAACGCCGCGUGAGUGAUGAAGGUCUUCGGAUCGUAAAACUCUGUUAUUAGGGAAGAACAAAUGUGUAAGUAACUAUGCACGUCUUGACGGUACCUAAUCAGAAAGCCACGGCUAACUACGUG